rnacentral:rRNA from 1 species
AUUGAACGCUGGCGGCAGGCCUAACACAUGCAAGUCGAGCGAGCGGCGGACGGGUGAGUAAUGUCUGGGAAACUGCCUGAUGGAGGGGGAUAACUACUGGAAACGGUGGCUAAUACCGCAUACCAUCAGAUGUGCCCAGAUGGGAUUGGCUAGUAGGUGGGGUAACGCGUAACCUAGGCGACGAUCCCUAGCUGGUCUGAGAGGAUGACCAGCCACACUGGAACUGAGACACGGUCCAGACUCCUACGGGAGGCAGCAGUGGGGAAUAUUGCACAAUGGGCGCAAGCCUGAUGCAGCCAUGCCGGGUGUGUGAAGAAGGACUUCGGUUUGUAAAGCACUUUCAGCGGGGAGGCGUUACCCGCAGAAGAAGCACCGGCUAACUCCGUGCCAGCCGCCGCGGUAAUUC